rnacentral:rRNA from 1 species
AUUGAACGCUGGCGGCAGGCUUAACACAUGCAAGUCGAGCGCGCGGCGGACGGGUGAGUAAUGUCUGGGAAACUGCCUGAUGGAGGGGGAUAACUACUGGAAACGGUAGCUAAUACCGCAUACCAUCGGAUGUGCCCAGAUGGGAUUAGCUAGUAGGUGGGGUAAAGGCUAACCUAGGCGCAGAUCCCUACGUGGUCUGAGAGGAUGACCAGCAACACUGGAACUGAGACACGGUCCAGAGUCCUACGGGAGGCAGGAGUGGGGAAUAUUGCACAAUGGGCGCAAGCCUGAUGCAGCCAGGCCGCGUGUAUGAAGAAGGCCUUCGGGUUGUAAAGUACUUUCAGCGGGGAGGCGUUACCCGCAGAAGAAGCACCGGCUAACUCCGUGCCAGCAGCCGCGGUAAUUC